UAAGACAGAGGGUGCAAACGUUGUUCGGAAUUACUGGGCGUAAAGCGAGUGUAGGCGGUUUGGUAAGUCGGAUGUGAAAGCCCCGGGCUCAACCCGGGAAGUGCACUCGAUACUGCCAAGCUAGAGUAUCGGAGAGGUUGGUGGAAUUCUCGGUGUAGAGGUGAAAUUCGUAGAUAUCGAGAGGAACACCGGUGGCGAAGGCGGCCAACUGGACGAAUACUGACGCGGAGACUCGA
rnacentral:rRNA from 1 species